rnacentral:rRNA from 1 species
GAUGAACGCUGGCGGCGUGCCUAAUACAUGCAAGUCGAGCGAACGGACGAGAAGCUUGCUUCUCUGAUGUUAGCGGCGGACGGGUGAGUAACACGUGGAUAACCUACCUAUAAGACUGGGAUAACUUCGGGAAACCGGAGCUAAUACCGGAUGAUAUUUUGAACCGCAUGGUUCAAAAGUGAAAGACGGUCUUGCUGUCACUUAUAGAUGGAUCCGCGCUGCAUUAGCUAGUUGGUAAGGUAACGGCUUACCAAGGCAACGAUGCAUAGCCGACCUGAGAGGGUGAUCGGCCACACUGGAACUGAGACACGGUCCAGACUCCUACGGGAGGCAGCAGUAGGGAAUCUUCCGCAAUGGGCGAAAGCCUGACGGAGCAACGCCGCGUGAGUGAUGAAGGUCUUCGGAUCGUAAAACUCUGUUAUUAGGGAAGAACAUAUGUGUAAGUAACUGUGCACAUCUUGACGGUACCUAAUCAAAAAGCCACGGCUAACUACGU